rnacentral:rRNA from 1 species
UACGAAGGGGGCUAGCGUUGUUCGGAAUUACUGGGCGUAAAGCGCGCGCAGGCGGUUCUCCAAGUCAGUGGUGAAAGCCCGGAGCUCAACUCCGGAACUGCCAUUGAAACUGUUGAACUUGAGGACGAGAGAGGUGAGUGGAAUUCCCAGUGUAGAGGUGAAAUUCGUAGAUAUUGGGAAGAACACCAGUGGCGAAGGCGACUUACUGGACACAUAUUGACGCUGAGGUGCGAAAGCGUGGGGAGCAAACAGGG